ACGGGCAUAGCUCAGCUGGUAGAGUUACGGUCUCCAAAACCGCAGGUCGUGGGUUCGAAUCCUACUGCCCGUGCUA
rnacentral:tRNA from 2 species